UACAGAGGUCCCAAGCGUUGUUCGGAUUCACUGGGCGUGAAGGGUGCGUAGGCGGUUGGGUAAGUCUGAUGUGAAAUCUCACAGCUUAACUGUGAAACUGCAUUGGAUACUAUCCGGCUAGAGGAAUGGAGGGGAGACUGGAAUACUUGGUGUAGCAGUGAAAUGCGUAGAUAUCAAGUGGAACACCAGUGGCGAAGGCGAGUCUCUGGACAUUUCCUGACGCUGAGGCACGAAAGCCAGGGGAGCAAACGGG
rnacentral:rRNA from 1 species